AGUAGCUUGGCUCAGUGGUUAGACCCUGGAGUCAGAGCAUCUUAAGCGUAAUAAGGAGGUCCCAGGUUCGAUUCCUGGAGCAACCA